CCCACACAUUAACAAACAACUGAGUCUUUGGUGGAAUCUCAUAGCCCCAUAUAUUGCAGUUUUCAGACGAUUCUCUAACAAUUAAUGGACCUGUGGGGUGAAUCCUCAGCGUUUCUUUGACUAUAGCUUGUAGGAAGUAGCUGAGUUAACGUGGAACCCCCCAGAAGUUCAGACAUGCAUAUUUUCUUCAUGAACUUCCAAUAAGGUCCAUAUGGCGCAAAGGAGAAGUCCUGGGAGCCGUAUGUCAGAAAAUCAACUGCAGAACUUUGCGGGCGGUUGGAGAAACGGGUUUCGUGAGUUUUUAGGAAUUCUCUGGCAGCUUCUGGCGUGGAAGCGACGACACAAGGGACGGAGCCAAGGAAAAGGUGCAUUAUGGGACCAUAGCGAGUAGAGAGCUUGUGAAGAGCCUGGUGAGGUAUUGGAGCCAGAAGGUGGAGAUGUCCAAUGAUGGGUAAGGCUCGUGGACUUGGUGGUCUAUUAUUAGUCUUGUUUUGUUUUCUGCUGAGUAUGGCUCGAACCACGAAUGUGGAGACUAAAAAUGUGAUGAAAAGAAGGAUGUAGUCUUGGUAAUCAGCCAUGUUUGAUUUGAAUGUUUCGCAGGUAAGUGAAAUAUACUAGUUAGCAACGUAUAUAAGGAAAAUAUGAUGCUUAAUUUGUAGUUUAUGUUUGCUGCUGUUAUCUGUUUUCGAAAUGGACAUUUAUAUGUCGCUGGCCGGCAUCGUGUCAGUUCUCAGACAAAGACAUCGUGAAUUUGUGACCAAGUCCAGCCUCAAAUAAAAAUGUCACCUGGUGGGUUGUCUUUGUCUGCAAAGAAAGUUCCUUUCUUCGAGACAUCGUUGCUUUCCAUUUAUAUUUCAACAUAUACUGCAGCUGACGUACUUUUUAAAAGUGACUGAUAUAGUUUUAACUUUCUGAGAAUUCUGUAUGCUUUCAUUUUCUUGCACCUAUCUUUUAUCAGCUUAGCUUGAAACUGAAUACUAUGAUGCUUGACAGAUUUAUUAA